GCCUCUAUAGCUCAGUUGGUAGAGCGCGGCACUAGUACUGCAUAGCCAUGCCGAGGUCUUCAGUUCAACUCUGAAUGGAGGCA